UUCCGAUUGGGCAGGAGGCUUACCCCCGCAGCGGUCUAUUAAGCCUAUUGGUCGAGCCCGCUUUGGGGGCGGGGCUUGCGCGCUCCCCGCCCUCGCCUGCGCCGCGGCGCAAGGGGCGGGGCGCGCCGCCGCCGUCCGUGUUUCCGCCGCCGCCGGCUCCUGCGCGUUGGGCGGGGGAGGAGUCGGAGGCGGAGAAGAAGGCGGCGGCGGCGGCGGGUGGAGGACCGAGCGCCGUCCUCGCUCCGGAGCCGCUUCUCAGCUCGACGCAUAGGCACUGCGUUGAGUCGGCUGCUUCCGGGAAAGUUGUUUUUUUAAAGGCCUAAUAUAAUCUUUUUAAUCAUGACUUGUUUGAACUUCAAACAGCAUGGAAGGACUAAGGUGAAAAGUGCAUCUCCCACUUCCCCUUCUAGUUCUGCCUUCGUUCUGAGAGUCAGCUGUUCAGUAAACUUCCUCUUUAUGUGAUUAUUUCUGGAGCAUGUAUUCCUAGAAAUUGAAUUGCUAGAUUAAAAACAGUAUGCAUUUAAGUUUUGAUAACCUAUUAAAUUUCUCCCUACUUAGUACUCUUUUCCAAGUUAAUCUUAUGCAUUCUACAAAUGAACUUUAGACUCAACUUGCAAAUUAGAUAAAAGAUCCUUUAGGUGUUUUGAGUGAGGUUAUAUUGAAAUUUUAGAUUAAUAUGGAGCAUAUUGUACUUUGUGAUACUGAAUCUCUCCCCUCUGAUAGAUAUGUAUAGCAUGUCUCUUAAUUCACAUCUUGCUUAAGGAAAGUUUUAUAAUUUUAUUCCAUAAAACUCUAUGGCAUUCCAUCUUGGUAGCUCUGGUGGAUAGAAACUUUAAGUAACAUUUAUUUCUCACCCCCCAGUUAUACCAAAGCUUU
rnacentral:lncRNA from 1 species